AUACGUAGGUGGCGAGCGUUAUCCGGAUUUACUGGGUUUAAAGGGUGCGUAGGCGGACGCCUAAGUCAGCGGUGAAAGGCAGCGGCUCAACCGUUGGACUGCCGUUGAAACUGGGCGUCUUGGAUUCGGUCGGGGCCGGCGGAAUGCGUGGUGUAGCGGUGAAAUGCUUAGAUAUCACGCGGAACGCCGAUCGCGAAGGCAGCUGGCCAGGCCGAGAUCGAGGCUGAUGCACGAAAGCGUGGGGAUCGAACAGGAUUAGAUACCCUGGUAGUCCACGCCGUAAACGAUGAUCACUGGAUGCCGGCGACACGCUGUCGGUGUCUGAGCGAAAGCAUUAAGUGAUCCACCUGGGGAGUACGAUCGCAAGGUUGAA
rnacentral:rRNA from 1 species